rnacentral:rRNA from 1 species
AUUGAACGCUGGCGGCAGGCCUAACACAUGCAAGUCGAGCGAGCGGCGGACGGGUGAGUAAUGUCUGGGGAUCUGCCCGAUAGAGGGGGAUAACUAGUGGAAACGGUGGCUAAUACCGCAUACACUCGGAUGAACCGCUGUGGGAUUAGCUAGUAGGUGGGGUAAAGGCUCACCUAGGCGACGAUCUCUAGCUUGUCUGAGAGGAUGAUCAGUCACACUGUCACUGAGACACGGCCCAGACUCCUACGGGAGGUAGCAGUGGGGAAUAUUGCACAAUGGGCGCAAGCCUGAUGCAGCCAUGCCGCGUGUAUGAAGAAGUCCUUAGGGUUGUAAAUUACUUUCAACGAGGAGGCGUUACCCGCAGAAGAAGCACCGGCUAACUCCGUGCCAGCAGCCGCGGUAAUUC